rnacentral:rRNA from 1 species
UACGGAAGGCAGCAGUGGGGAAUAUUGCACAAUGGGCGCAAGCCUGAUGCAGCCAUGCCGCGUGUAUGAAAGAAGGCCGUUCGGGUUAGUAAAGUACUUUCAGUCGUGAGGAAGGUGUUAAGGUUAAUAACCUUAGCAAUUGACGUUAGCGACAGAAGAAGCACCGGCUAACUCCGUGCCAGCAGCCGCGGUAAUACGGAGGGUGCGAGCGUUAAUCGGAAUUACUGGGCGUAAAGGGCACGCAGGCGGUUAAUUAAGUUGGAUGUGAAAUCCCCGGGCUUAACCUGGGAAUGGCAUUCAAGACUGGUUAGCUAGAGUCUUGUAGAGGGGGUAGAAUUCCAUGUGUAGCGGUGAAAUGCGUAGAGAUGUGGAGGAAUACCGGUGGCGAAGGCGGCCCCUGGACAAAGACUGACGCUCAUGUGCGAAAGCGUGGGGAGCAAACAGGGAUUAGAUACC